AUCUUUCUAGUACAACUUAGUAUAAGUGACUUCCAAUCACCCGGCCUUGGUUAAAAUCCAAGGAAAGAUA
rnacentral:tRNA from 2 species